rnacentral:snRNA from 1 species
GUGCUUACCUCAGCAGCACAUACACCGACAUUGGAACAAUACAUGGCCACUGCACACAAUACAGAGAUCAUCAUGGCCACUGCACAAGGAUGCCAUGCAAAUUCAUCAACGGUCCCAUAUUUUU